GACGAACGCUGGCGGCGUGCUUAACACAUGCAAGUCGAACGGAAAGGCCCUGCUUUUGUGGGGUGCUCGAGUGGCGAACGGGUGAGUAACACGUGAGUAACCUGCCCUUGACUUUGGGAUAACUUCAGGAAACUGGGGCUAAUACCGGAUAGGAGCUCCUGCUGCAUGGUGGGGGUUGGAAAGUUUCGGCGGUUGGGGAUGGACUCGCGGCUUAUCAGCUUGUUGGUGGGGUAGUGGCUUACCAAGGCUUUGACGGGUAGCCGGCCUGAGAGGGUGACCGGCCACAUGGGGACUGGGAUCCGGCCCAGACCCCUGGGGGGGGCAGGGGGGGGGAAUAUUGCACGGGGGGGGGAGGCUUUUGGCACCAACCCCGCGGGGGGGAUGAGGGCCUUGGGGUUGAAACCCGCUUCCCCCUGGGACGAAGCGGGAGGGCGGGUAAGGGGAAAAAAAGCACCGGCAAACUACG
rnacentral:rRNA from 1 species